rnacentral:rRNA from 1 species
GGCAGCAGUGGGGAAUCUUCGGCAAUGGGGGCAACCCUGACCGAGCAACGCCGCGUGAGUGAAGAAGGUUUUCGGAUCGUAAAGCUCUGUUGUAAGAGAAGAACGUGUGUGAGAGUGGAAAGUUCACACAGUGACGGUAACUUACCAGAAAGGGACGGCUAACUACGUGCCAGCAGUCGCGGUAAUACGUAGGUCCCGAGCGUUGUCCGGAUUUAUUGGGCGUAAAGCGAGCGCAGGCGGUUUAAUAAGUCUGAAGUUAAAGGCAGUGGCUUAACCAUUGUUCGCUUUGGAAACUGUUAGACUUGAGUGCAGAAGGGGAGAGUGGAAUUCCAUGUGUAGCGGUGAAAUGCGUAGAUAUAUGGAGGAACACCGGUGGCGAAAGCGGCUCUCUGGUCUGUAACUGACGCUGAGGCUCGAAAGCGUGGGGAGCAAACAGGAUUAGAUACCCUGGUAGUCCACGCCGUAAACGAUGAG